GUAGAGAAUCUGAACAAGCGGGU
rnacentral:piRNA from 1 species